AGAAUGAGUUAAAUCUAUAUAAACUACUAUAAAUAUAUUUUAUAUUGAAAUAUAAAUGAUAUAAUAAAAUUCGUCCUUGAGACAAGGGCUUGAAAGAAACAAAAACUUUCAAAAACAAAUUUGAAAAAGUUCUUGACAAAGAACAACAAAUUUGAUAAGAUAUAAAAGUCGCUGAGGCGAUGUGGUCUUUGAAAAUUAAACAGAGAAUUAACAAGAAACAUUCUUGUAACAGCCAGUAAGAUAAGGUAAUAUACCUUGUCAAUGAAUUUGAGAAGAGAUUAAACUUUUAAAUUUAGAGUUUGAUCCUGGCUCAGACGAACGCUGGCGGCGUGCUUAACACAUGCAAGUCGAGCGAUGAAGCUUCCUUCGGGAAGUGAAUUAGCGGCGGACGGGUGAGUAACACGUGGGUAACUGCCUCAAAGUGGGGGAUAGCCUUCCGAAAGGAAGAUUAAUACCGCAUAAUAUAAGAGAAUCGCAUGAUUUUUUUAUCAAAGAUUUAUUGCUUUGAGAUGGACCCGCGGCGCAUUAGCUAGUUGGUAAGGUAACGGCUUACCAAGGCAACGAUGCGUAGCCGACCUGAGAGGGUGAUCGGCCACAUUGGAACUGAGACACGGUCCAGACUCCUACGGGAGGCAGCAGUGGGGAAUAUUGCGCAAUGGGGGAAACCCUGACGCAGCAACGCCGCGUGGGUGAUGAAGGUCUUCGGAUUGUAAAGCCCUGUUUUCUAGGACGAUAAUGACGGUACUAGAGGAGGAAGCCACGGCUAACUACGUGCCAGCAGCCGCGGUAAUACGUAGGUGGCGAGCGUUGUCCGGAUUUACUGGGCGUAAAGGGUGCGUAGGCGGAUGUUUAAGUGGGAUGUGAAAUCCCCGGGCUUAACCUGGGGGCUGCAUUCCAAACUGGAUAUCUAGAGUGCAGGAGAGGAAAGCGGAAUUCCUAGUGUAGCGGUGAAAUGCGUAGAGAUUAGGAAGAACACCAGUGGCGAAGGCGGCUUUCUGGACUGUAACUGACGCUGAGGCACGAAAGCGUGGGUAGCAAACAGGAUUAGAUACCCUGGUAGUCCACGCCGUAAACGAUGGAUACUAGGUGUAGGGGGUAUCAACUCCCCCUGUGCCGCAGUUAACACAAUAAGUAUCCCGCCUGGGGAGUACGGUCGCAAGAUUAAAACUCAAAGGAAUUGACGGGGGCCCGCACAAGCAGCGGAGCAUGUGGUUUAAUUCGAAGCAACGCGAAGAACCUUACCUGGACUUGACAUCCCUUGCAUAGCCUAGAGAUAGGUGAAGCCCUUCGGGGCAAGGAGACAGGUGGUGCAUGGUUGUCGUCAGCUCGUGUCGUGAGAUGUUAGGUUAAGUCCUGCAACGAGCGCAACCCUUGUUAUUAGUUGCUACCAUUAAGUUGAGCACUCUAAUGAGACUGCCUGGGUAACCAGGAGGAAGGUGGGGAUGACGUCAAAUCAUCAUGCCCCUUAUGUCCAGGGCUACACACGUGCUACAAUGGUAGGUACAAUAAGACGCAAGACCGUGAGGUGGAGCAAAACUUAUAAAACCUAUCUCAGUUCGGAUUGUAGGCUGCAACUCGCCUACAUGAAGCUGGAGUUGCUAGUAAUCGCGAAUCAGAAUGUCGCGGUGAAUACGUUCCCGGGCCUUGUACACACCGCCCGUCACACCAUGAGAGCUGGUAACACCCGAAGUCCGUGAGGUAACCGUAAGGAGCCAGCGGCCGAAGGUGGGAUUAGUGAUUGGGGUGAAGUCGUAACAAGGUAGCCGUAGGAGAACCUGCGGCUGGAUCACCUCCUUUCUAAGGAGAAUAGGAAGAAGAAAAUUCUUUCUAAAGGCUGAAUUCUCUGUUUAAUUUUGAGAGACCAUUCUCUCAAAAUGGAGUUAAACAUUAGUUUGUUUAGCUAAGUGAUUGUACCAAAUAAUAGAUUUGGAACAUCAACUUAUGUUCUUUGAAAAUUGCACAGUGAAUAAGUAAAGCUAAAGGUAUAAAAAUCCUUUGUAAGAAUACAAUUUUAAGGUCAAGCUACAAAGGGCGCAUGGUGAAUGCCUUGGCACUAGGA
rnacentral:rRNA from 1 species